rnacentral:rRNA from 1 species
AUUGAACGCUGGCGGCAGGCCUAACACAUGCAAGUCGAGCGGUUGACGGGAGCUUGCUCCCUGAUUCAGCGGCGGACGGGUGAGUAAUGCCUAGGAAUCUGCCUAUUAGUGGGGGACAACGUUUCGAAAGGAACGCUAAUACCGCAUACGUCCUACGGGAGAAAGCAGGGGACCUUCGGGCCUUGCGCUAAUAGAUGAGCCUAGGUCGGAUUAGCUUGUUGGUGAGGUAAUGGCUCACCAAGGCGACGAUCCGUAACUGGUCUGAGAGGAUGAUCAGUCAAACUGGAACUGAGACACGGUCCAGACUCCUACGGGAGGCAGCAGUGGGGAAUAUUGGACAAUGGGCGAAAGCCUGAUCCAGCCAUGCCGCGUGUGUGAAGAAGGUCUUCGGAUUGUAAAGCACUUUAAGUUGGGAGGAAGGGUUGUAGAUUAAUACUCUGCAAUUUUGACGUUACCGACAGAAUAAGCACCGGCUAACUCUGUGCCAGCAGCCGCCGUAA